rnacentral:tRNA from 20 species
GCGGGUGUCGUCUAGCGGCAAAGGCUCCUGCCUUACAAGCAGGUAAUCGGAGGUUCGAGUCCUCUCACCCGUAC